rnacentral:rRNA from 1 species
UACGGGGGGUGCGAGCGUUGUCCGGAAUCACUGGGCGUAAAGGGCGCGUAGGUGGCCUGAUAAGGGUGUGGUGAAAGUCCGGGGCUCAACCCCGGAUCGGCCGUGCCGACUGUUAGGCUAGAGUACUGUAGGGGCAGGCGGAAUUCCGGGUGUAGCGGUGGAAUGCGUAGAGAUCCGGAGGAAGACCGGUGGCGAAGGCGAGUCCCUGGACAACUUCUGACGCUGAGGCACGAAAGCUAGGGGAGCAAACAGG